rnacentral:misc_RNA from 1 species
GAUGGAAGAACGUAGCGAAAUGCGAUAAGUAAUGUGAAUUGCAGAAUUCAGUGAAUCAUCGAAUCUUUGAACGCACAUUGCGCCCCUUGGUAUUCCGAGGGGCAUGCCUGUUCGAGCGUCAUUUCAACCCUCAAGCUCUGCUUGGUAUUGGGCUCUCGCGGGGGAUUAAGUCCCUGGCGUGCCUUAAAGCUAUCGGCGGUGGUGCCCUGCUUCGAGCGUAGUAAAGUUUAUUCUCUCGCUUUGGAGGUUAGGGCUUCGCCUGCCGGAAAAACCGGGCUUCGCGCCCACUUAUUCAAAGGUUGACCUCGGAUCAGGUAGGGAUACCCGCUGAACUUAAGCAUAUCAAUAAGCGGAGGA